UUAAUAUCCAGGAAUUGACAUUAUAGACACUACCACUGACUAUCCCCAUAACAAAUUGGCCACAAUUUUGCACAUUGACCAUACGCGGUCCUGCCAUACACUAGGUUUUGACCUAGUCGUGUUUUAAAUGACCUGGUGGUAUGAACCUGGGUGAUUUAUGCAAACAGUCCGUGUCAACCAUCCAACAUGGAAAUAUUCAUUCAGCCUUGCGACUGUAUUCUUGUCAAAAGCAUUGCGUCCAGUAUGAGCCAAGUUCUCUAAGUAACUCUGAUUUUAGAUAUUAUACAAACUGAGGUAGGAGCGAGACGAUGGAAGAAAACCUAACCAGUGUAGAAGCAGUGAGAGUCAUGAGCUGUUAAACUCUGUGGACAGAGUGGCUUUGCACGAUGGCAAGAUUGUGUUGUGUGGUGAGGCAGCAGUGAACUUUGUAUAGGCUCUGUAUAGGGAAGGAGCUCAUCCUCAUCCGUACCAGAUACUCGUUUCAUUUGAGCAUUCGGCUCUACCCUAGUUAUUUAUAAGGUGAAUUACUUGCAAAUGCUGAAAGCUGAACUUCAUCAGAUUUGAGAGGGGAUUUAAAAGGAUUCAGAUUGGAUAAAAUGCUAUUGAACCCUAACCCUAAAGCCUGUUCUUCAAGAAACAACUCCGACACAUAAUUCCCAGUAAAACCCACAAAUUGUAUUUGUUUUUUAAAAAACUGUCUGCCCUUGCCUGCAGUUGUUCUGCUAAGCUAGGCUAAACAAGCUGGUUAAGAGAAUGCCAAGAAUGUGCAAAGCUGGCAUCAAAGCACAAGGUGGCUACUUUGAGGAAUCUGAAAUCUGAAACAUAUUUUGGUUUGUUUAACACUUUUUUGUUUGUGACUGAAUUCCAUUUGUGUUAUGUCAUAGUUUUGAUGUCUUCAGUGUUGCUCUACAGUGUAGAAACUAGUAAAAAUAAAGAAAAACCCUUGAAUGGAUAGGUGUGUCCAAACUUUUGACUGGUACUUUAUUUCUUUACAAAAGAAUAUCUACAUGUGCUGUAUGAGCAGUGUUAAUCAUAGCACCAUACACUUCAAUGUACUGUAAUUUAUUACACAUAGUAUUAGACCAAAUCACAUAAUGUUGCUGCUGGAUGAAAACGUUGUUAGCUUCUCAAGAACUCAAGAAAACAGCCAGCUUCAUUUCCUCUCCAGUAGUUGAAUGAUUUUCAUACAUCUGGGGGUCAUUUAAUACACUGCAUCUAUCUUUAAGGCAUUCCACAUGACAACAGCGAUAAGAUACAUCUACAUGAAUCAGAUAUCUUUGAUCAGUAACUGAAAUAUUGUUAAAAGCAAUAGGAGCCGACAGAAGCUUGUCACAGCUUAGCAUAAUUUGACUCAGGCUUUUAACGUCUGCAUCCGCUGUCAGGUUUUAUAGCAGGACACGCUGGCGGCCUCUCCCCUCCGCUGCCUGCCCACUGAGUUAUGAGUCAGCCAUCAGAGAAUACUCCUCUGCUCAGAGAUUUAUACAUGCCUACAAGCCAUCAGGCCUGCAUUAUUACUGGCUAAUCAAUGGACUCUGUGGUAAUGGUGCUGCUCUUAGAGCUGCGAGUGUGGCCUGUAGCCUCACUUUAUGAUGCAAUGCUUGCAGCUGAUGGAUGGGUAUUAGAUGGUGUUUUCAUGAUUUCAAACCAGCCGUCAGAUUCUUUAAGAUACUCACCAAGUUUAAAAAAAAUCUUAAAGGCACAGUUUUUUGAAAACUAAAUACACUCAAUUUUAUAAAUGAAAAAAUUAGAUAUUGUUAUUGUGCUUAAUUAUUGCUUUUCAAUAAACCAUAUUCAUCCAAACAUGAUACCAAAUGAAGCUAUGUUUUAGUUCAUUUCUUCUCUCUUUCUAUUUGCCAGUAAUCUCAUGCUCUAAACAUGGCUCUAAACAAUACAAUACCCAUAAUCCUUGGCCACUGUUGCUAUGGAGAAGAAGCUAGUCAGAAUAGCAAAUCAGAGCGCUAAUGAAUUCAAACCGCUUUGUUGUUGCAGUUGUAAGCAAAACAUGAGCAAUCUGCUGAAUUCACUCAAAAGUGACCCAGAAAUUACAAGUUAAUUCAAUUUUCUCAACACCAAAACCAGAUUUUCGAGCUUGGUGAUUGGAUGUUUCUUGUCGAAAUGCACAUUGGGAUUUGUAGUUAACUUUUACAAACUUGCUACAAACUUUUCAGAGCCACAUCUCAGCCUACAGGGAGUGAGAAUUUGACUCUGAAACAUGUGGAGUAUUCCUGUAACUCCCCUAAAAAGCCAGCAUCCUUGUCCCAUUUCCAUCUCUUUUCACCUCAGCUACCACUUUCCUAUUUUUAACACUUCCAUGGACACCCCCUACCACCCCCACUCCAUACUCACUCAUAUCUCUCUCUUGUGAAUGGAUGCGCCCCCUUUUCUUAUUUUCUUUCUUCCUCCUCCCUUGCUCCAUCCCUCACUUACUUUAUCUGGGUGUCACUGUGUCAGAAUGUAUUUGGGGCUAAAUUAUUCAUUAGAGAACUGGAGGGCAAUCAAAGAGACUGGUACAACGGCAGGGCCAGUGUGUGUGUGUGUGUGUGUGUGUGUGCACAUGCUCGACGGUAGAUGCAUGCAUGCGUGAUUCUAUGUGUGUGUGUGUGUGUUUUAGAGCUGGUACAGGAGGGAGUAUAGCAGGCUGGAAGAAAGAGAUUACAUAGAAACCCGGGGGGAGCCGAACACAGAGCCCUGUAGCUCUCCUUACAGUCCAGAGAAUGCUAAUAUAAUAGCAGUGAAGUGUAUGUAUGUGUGUGUGUAUGGGAGAACAGAAGAGGGUGUAUGCUUGCUAGAUAAUGCUUCCCCCUGAUAUAAUCAAUGAUGCUGGUGUUGAAACAUGGACUAUCUGCUGUUACCUUCACUCACCUUUCUGCCCAAAGCUAUUUGACUUCAUUUAUGUCAGGAAACGUCUUCAGCACCAAGUUCAAUCUUUCUCUGUCAUGUUUUUAUGUGCGUGUGCAUGUGUUGCUUUCACUCCCUGCCACCACCCCCUUUCUCCAAUUAACAGGUCUGUUCCGCAAAGCUGAGAGGACACAGCGAGUCCCAACUGCCAUGAUGAAUUCAAAACUCUGGGCAACUAUCACGGCUUGAGGCUGAAGCCAAUGGUGAAGUACCUUAAAGUGCAAUGUCACCGACGGCCACUAUGCUCCAACUGAAGCAAAGUCCUGCAGAGAGUCAUCAAAGCUGUUCAUUGCAUCACCAGGUCUGAACUGCCAUCCAUGUAGGACUUCUACAUCCAGAGGAGCACAAGGAAAGCUGGGAAAAUCAUAAAGGACGCCAGCCACCACAGGUAAUGGUUGCAGAGCUGACUCAAGUUUACCACACUGAAGCACAACCUGAGCUGCGAUAUUAGAGACUGUGCACAGACACUCUCCCAAAAAAUGUUGCUGGACUCUAAGGUUGCCAAAGAAUCUCUUUCAGAGAACAAAGGCGGAGUCCUUGGUGAAGGAUGUUCUAGCACCAAAGGCCAUGAAAGAUGCGGUCAGGAUGUUGAAGAAAGAUGAAACACCUCUACCUUUCUCCAUACACAUGGAUCCCUCCAACAAAAGCAACAGAAAGAUGUUCCCUAUGAUGAUCCAAUUCUUCACACCAGAAUGUGGUGAGGUGAAUAAAAUGAUUGACUUCAUCGAACAUCCAGAUGAAUCAGCAGAGUGGAUUGUAGGGUGCCCUGAAAGUGUACAGCUUCUUCUCCAUAUCAGCGAAAAGAUGAGAGGCUUUGAAGGAGUUUUGUGAGUUCUUUGACAUUGAGUUCGGAGAAGUCCUGCAGCAUGUCACUACCAGAUGGCUUUCUCUCAACCCUGCCAUCUCAAGACUCCUGCAAAGCUGGUCAGCCGUGAAGUCCUACUUCAUCAGCCUUGGCGAUGAGUGUCCCAAACAAAUCAGGACUUUGUUGAAGCUCGUCACUGAGGAUGAUGGCGAUGUUGUGGACAUUUACCUCCUCUUCUGCAUUAACAUUCUCUCCCUCUUUGAAGAGGUUGUCAAGAAGCUUGAGGCCAGUGCUACUACAUGUGUAGAGCUGUAUCCCAUCAUGCAUUCCAUCAGUGCUAAACUAAAACAGAGGUGAGAUAACCAGUUCUACGGUUAUCUAACAAAAACGAAGCUGCAAAGUCUCCCUCCAGAUGAUGCAGGCAAGGCAAAGCAAGGGUUCACAGCGUUCAUCGACACAGCCCUAAGGAACAUCGAAAAAUGGUUCACUUCUCUGAAAGUAAUUGGCUUCACUGUCUUCUGUUCCUCUCUCUCCCUGUCAACCUCACCUUUAAUGACCUGGAGAAGAUUUGUGCGAAGCUUCACCUCACAGCCAGAGUGAACAUGGAUGACCUCUAUGAUGAGUGCACCAUGCUGAAUAUUGUUGUGGAGAAGCUCCAGGAAUGGAACAAAGAUGUGGCAGCCGAGUGGAUGGCUGUAUGUCAGGCAGCUGAUCUGCCAAAUAUGCUCUCUAUCAUCUCCUGCAUUCUGAGCACACCAGCCUCAACAGGGUUUGUGGAGAGAAUCCUCUCCAGGAUGAACAGCAAAUGGAGUGAGGUCCAGAACCGGUGCUCUGUGGAGUUCAUGGAGAGUGAGCUACUUGUCUCUGUGAACUUUGACCUGUACUGUGACGAGUUCCACACUGGUUUUGAAGGACAAGGCAUUGCUUGAGGCAGCAAGGAGCAACAAAAAGUACACGUGGAAGAAAAAGUAGAGAGGGUGGUGGUGGGUUGGGUAGAGGGGAGAAUUCACAUUCACAAAGGUCACAUUACCUAGAUAAAUUAGUAAUUAUUCGUUUCUCUACAUUUCCCUCAUUCUGGAAUAGGCUGAUAUUUAUUUCAAUGCCUACAUCCAGGAGGAUUGUUCUGAUCAGUUUGACAGUAAACAUUUUCAAUUUAUUUUCACAAAUAAAUGUAUUGUUAAUUUAUUUUCACAAAUGAAUGUGUUGUUCAGUCAUUCACAAUAGUGGUCUCUGUGGUCUACCUGGUCUUUUGCUAUUUCCAAAUUUAUCAAUGGGUUCUUGCUUCUUCCAAAUAUACCAAAUAGUUUAUUUUGACAGACCAAACAUUUUGCCCACGUCUAUGAUCUGAUGUUUUAAUCCUUAAUAUAAAAGAUGAAACUGUGCUUUACCUUUAUUGACU